GUUUUUAAAAUUGUCUCAAAACAUAUACUAAAAUUGGAACAAUGCAGAGAAGAUUAGGAUGGCCCCUAUGCAAGGAUGACACGCAAAUACAUGAAGCGUUCCAUAUUUUU